rnacentral:rRNA from 1 species
AUGAACGCUGGCGGCGUGCCUAAUACAUGCAAGUCGAGCGAACAGACGAGGAGCUUGCUCCUCUGACGUUAGCGGCGGACGGGUGAGUAACACGUGGAUAACCUACCUAUAAGACUGGGAUAACUUCGGGAAACCGGAGCUAAUACCGGAUAAUAUAUUGAACCGCAUGGUUCAAUAGUGAAAGACGGUUUUGCUGUCACGUAUAGAUGGAUCCGCGCCGCAUUAGCUAGUUGGUAAGGUAACGGCUUACCAAGGCGACGAUGCGUAGCCGACCUGAGAGGGUGAUCGGCCACACUGGAACUGAGACACGGUCCAGACUCCUACGGGAGGCAGCAGUAGGGAAUCUUCCGCAAUGGGCGAAAGCCUGACGGAGCAACGCCGCGUGAGUGAUGAAGGUCUUCGGAUCGUAAAACUCUGUUAUUAGGGAAGAACAAAUGUGUAAGUAACUAUGCACGUCUUGACGGUACCUAAUCAGAAAGCCACGGCUAACUACGUG